rnacentral:sRNA from 1 species
ACUGAAAGUUAAUAAUGCAUUUUGAUUCUACUACUAAAGAAAAUCCAAAAACCAGAAAGGAUAUAUAUUCGUUGUCAGAUAACAAUCUUUAUUUCUUGAUUUAGGUGUUCACUGUUGGCAGAAUUUGUGCCAGCCGUACCAGAAUUUAUCAUAAACUGAAACAUUUUAAAUUCAAACUAUACCAGGAAUGUUGCACCAUUGCAAUGACAGAAGAAGUUGAAGAUGAACAAGUUAAAGAAACAGUGGAAAGAAUUUUCAGGCGGUCAAAAGAAAAUGGCUGGAUUAAGGAGAAAUAUGGUCAACUUGAAGAAUAUCUCAAUUUUGCGGAUUACUUUCAAGAAGAGAAGUUUGAGUUGUAACACAUUUCCAUCAGAGAAGAUUUUUUAAAUUCCUGUAAAUGUGAAGAUCAUGAUUCUUGUUUUUCUGUAUCAUGUGACAUGUUUGUACAUUUUAUCUAUAUCUUCAUGGCAAAAUAUUUUGUUUAAAACAUGAUUAUGUUAAUUCCUGUGAAGUGGCACUCUACACUCUAAUUAAACUUUUAUCUGAUGUACAUAAAA